GAUGAACGCUGGCGGCGUGCCUAAUACAUGCGAGUCGAGCGAACAGACGAGGAGCUUGCUCCUCUGACGUUAGCGGCGGACGGGUGAGUAACACGUGGAUAACCUACCUAUAAGACUGGGAUAACUUCGGGAAACCGGAGCUAAUACCGUAUAACAUGUUGAACCGCAUGGUUCAACAGUGAAAGACGGUCUUGCUGUCACUUAUAGAUGGAUCCGCGCCGCAUUAGCUAGUUGGUAAGGUAACGGCUUACCAAGGCAACGAUGCGUAGCCGACCUGAGAGGGUGAUCGGCCACACUGGAACUGAGACACGGUCCAGACUCCUACGGGAGGCAGCAGUAGGGAAUCUUCCGCAAUGGGCGAAAGCCUGACGGAGCAACGCCGCGUGAGUGAAGAAGGUCUUCGGAUCGUAAAACUCUGUUAUUAGGGAAGAACAAAUGUGUAAGUAACUAUGCACGUCUUGACGGUACCUAAUCAGAAAGCCACGGCUAACUACGUG
rnacentral:rRNA from 1 species